rnacentral:rRNA from 1 species
AGCUCCAAUAGCGUAUAUUAAAGUUGUUGCAGUUAAAAAGCUCGUAGUUGAACUUUGGGCCUGGCAGGCCGGUCCGCUUUUUGGCGAGUACUGACCCUGCCGGGCCUUUCCUUCUGGCUAACCUCCCCUCUGGAGAGGCGAACCAGGACUUUUACUUUGAAAAAAUUAGAGUGUUCAAAGCAGGCCUUUGCUCGAAUAUAUUAGCAUGGAAUAAUAGAAUAGGACGUUUGGUUCUAUUUUGUUGGUUUCUAGGACCAUCGUAAUGAUUAAUAGGGACGGUCGGGGGCAUCAGUAUUCAGUUGUCAGAGGUGAAAUUCUUGGAUUUACUGAAGACUAACUACUGCGAAAGCAUUUGCCAAGGACGUUUUCA